GAUGAACGCUGGCGGCGUGCUUAACACAUGCAAGUCGAACGAGAAGUGAAGACGGAAACCUUCGGGCGGAAGGCUUUAUUUCGAGUGGCGGACGGGUGAGUAACGCGUGGGUAACCUGCCUCAUACAGGGGGAUAACAGUUGGAAACGACUGUUAAUACCGCAUAAGACCACAGCACCGCAUGGUGCGGGGGUAAAAACUCCGGUGGUAUGAGAUGGACCCGCGUUCGAUUAGCCAGUUGGCGGGGUAACGGCCCACCAAAGCGACGAUCGAUAGCCGAUCUGAGAGGAUGACCGGCCACAUUGGGACUGAGACACGGCCCAAACUCCUACGGGAGGCAGCAGUGGGGAAUAUUGCACAAUGGGGGAAACCCUGAUGCAGCGACGCCGCGUGAGUGAAGAAGUAUUUCGGUAUGUAAAGCUCUAUCAGCAGGGAAGAAAAUGACGGUGCCUGAGUAAGAAGCCCCGGCUAACUACGUG
rnacentral:rRNA from 1 species